AGACCAAAAAAAACCCCCCUACAAAAUAAUAACACAUCAACUUUGUACUUUUUUUCUAGAGUGUAGACAGUUUUAAUAACAAUGCAAUUGGUGGGAACAGCUUUGAUGGCAAUCAGAACAGCUUUGCAGCUGAUCCAGGAAGUGUGGACAGUUUUAAUGGCAAUGCAAUUGGUGGAAACAGCUUUGACAACAAUGCUGUAAGUACAAGGAGUCUGUCCAUGGUUAAAUCUUGUUUGACCACCAGUUUGAGUG
rnacentral:lncRNA from 11 species